GGGGGUGAUGGUGGAAAGGCACACAGGGCCAAAAUCGUGAGCCCUUGAAGGCCACGUAAGGAAUUUGGACUUCAGUCUAAGUGCAAUGAGAAAUCACUAGCAAGCUUCAACCAGGGGGAAAACUGAUCUGAUUAAUGACAAUCUGAUUAAUGAAAGGCUGCUUCUCAAUCCUCUGUGUCAGUGGAAAUUUUCAGCCUGUGGCUCGUAUGGCACAGGGACCUACAAGGUUGGCAAGUGGAAGGAGGAGGCAGCUCAAAUUCCCACACAUCUGGGGCAAACAGAUACUGCACUCCAAUUUCCUGUCGGCGCCGCUGGUUUCUCGCGGAAUUACUUGCUAA
rnacentral:lncRNA from 1 species